AAAAUUAGCAACAGAUUUUAAUUCUCUUUUAAACAGAAAGUAAGAUUUUGUUCAUGCAUAUGAAGAGAAUUUGUGGCUGAGAUGUUGAACAUCUCUUUUGUGUUCUCUCUUUCUUUUCCUUACUCCCACCCUGACUGCCAAAGCACAAAAACAAAGAAAGUAGAAAGAACAAACAAAUAAACAUGCUGACACAGACACAAA
rnacentral:misc_RNA from 1 species